UACCGUUAUUGCUUAUUAUGAGAAAUUCGUCGCACAUUGGUUACAAGGUUGUUUUUUGUUGAUUUCUAUUUGAUUUCCAGGGUAAACAUUAUUCCUUAUGCUUUGUGAUGACAACAGUGCUUCAUCAGACAAGCCAGAGGAAGGAAUCGGCAAAGAAUCCAGACACGAUUAGAAGAAAACAAUUAUAGCCGAGGCUCAUAUUACCAUAGCUUUUCCUGGAGGAGGUGAAGAUGAUAAGAUCAACCAAAACUAUCUUCCUUAAUUGCCAAUUGAAGAAGACUCUGUAUAUGUGGAGUGGUCCCCCAAACACAGGACUUAUAGUUUAGUCAAAACAAGUUAGAAUGCUCUCUAUAAAGGUUUUUGGUAGGUCAUGCAUUUGAUGUUUUGCCUUUCUUCUUCUUCUGCUUGUUUAUCCUAUACAAUUACAAAUUU